GAUCCUAAAGAGAAAGAACAAAAAGCACUCUAAAGUUGUACAGGGGUUAGUUUCCUAGACUAUUUUUUUAUUAAAAAAAAUAGUUGUAUACAAACACAACUUGAAUUAAGAAGUCAUGCCACCUUAAUCUGUACACCAAGAAGAUAGAGAUGGCACAUUGAACACCUUUGAGAAUUUUUUUAAAUAAUGAAAGUUAAACGGCUUUCCCCAAUGCUGAGAAGCAAAAGACAGGCAACUUUGAGAAACUUUGGUAGUUGGAGAGAGGGAAAAAACGAAACAUGAAGCAUGAAGUCUCUGCUACAGAAAGUCUGCGCCCUCUACAGUCGUAGAACUGAAGGAAGGAACCAGCUGUAGCCUUUUAGAAUGGCUUGCUAGUCCAUAUAUCUAGAAGAAGGCAGAACUCGCACAGAGACCUGCUCCUGGUUCCACUGAUGCAAGAGAAGCUGUGAAGAGCAAGAUAUCACCCCAACCGUUCUGAGAGCCUUCAGGGUGCGACUUCUUCCCACAGGCUACAGUGACUCAUUCAAAAGCGGUUGGGAGCGAAGCACUUCUUGAAUUGCAUGUGGAGCAGAGAUGGAGGCAGAAGGGCGGCUCAGAAAGUCCCAUCAUGCAGUCGGGCUGGAUGGACGUCAGAUUCCGAAAAGCUCCUGCAGCUCUUGUUCGGAGAUCACUUGGCGAAGGAAGUUGUUGUCCUUCUGAAGAUAGAAAGAGUCAGCUCCUUGAUUGCUUGAGUCAUCACUCCUAUGUUGGCAGGCAACUGGCACUUAUGAAAGUGCAUCUCAGAAAGAUCGACAUCUGGAAGAUAAUGCCAACUUUGCUAACAUGCCAGAAAAGAUGCUUCAGCUACGAGGGCAGAGAAAAGGCACAUCUAUACAUGAUGCAACCAGCAAAGGGGGAAAAUGUGUUCCAGGGACCACACUCACUGCGGAAACAGCAAAGACUCAAAGUGACAACUAUAGCAAUAUGAUUUAUGGGAUUGGGGGCAUGAAGGGUGGCUGAAGGUCUGAAGAACUUGAAUGCAGGACCUGACUAAGGAAGGGGAUACUGUAACUGGGGUGUUGCUUAUUGAUUGUAACUGGGGGUGACAGUGAGGGUUUUGUGGGCAGGGCAGGGAGGUAAGGUAAAAAUUCAUUUCCUGUUCAGAUUAUCUAAGAGCUCAGUCCACUAUAUCCUGAGAACUCUACUGGCCAAAGAGAACUCCACUGUCCAUGGAGCUUGGGCAGUCAAAGCUGAAGAUUUUUUGAACACUUUUAUGUUCAGAAAAGCACAUUGGAAUCAAAUAUGUUUGGCUGAAUGGCCAGGUGGGUGCAGUAGCCUUAGGACAGCUGGCAAUCAGGUACGAGAUGAAUGGGCAUGUCCAGCAUCUCACACAGGCCAGAAGAACCACAAGGAAGUCCAUUUCUUUGGCUGCUCGGCUGCUCCCAUUUUUCUUUCUUUCUUGAGCUAACUAGGAAGCAAAGACAUGCACACCAUUGUAUGCAGUGUGCAUUGAAACAAAACUUUUUUUGAUGUUCAAAGAAGUUUCACUUCAUAUUCCACCUGUCAAACAGGUUGGGUUGGAGAUGGUUUUGGAUUUUGUUUCUUCUUUCUUCCAAAACUACUUGGCCUACAGCUCUUGUGUAGGUUCUGACUGUCUAUAAAUGUAUGUCAAUGUGCCAAAUCAUCUCAUAUUGCCAUAUUCUGAUAUCUUCCAGCUCACAGCUAAGAAGGCGCUAAACACCUUCAGCUGUCUAAAGAAGAAUAUUCAGGGACAGGACAAUUACAUUAAAAUAAUAAUAAUAAAAAUGAAUGCUAACCUGAAAAAGAUGGUGGACUUUCAGAGAGUCCUAAAUAUCAUUUUCUUCUAUCUCUUGACCACCACCCAACUAACUCCUCAGGCAUUAAUUGGGAUGACACCUAUGUGAUAUUAUAGUUCUGGGGUUCUUUAGGGAGUGGACCAAUAAGAUCGCUGUCUUUUUCACUACACCAAUGGCUUCUAACCAAUGGGAGCUUGCUAAUUCACCAUCAAGUUCUCAUUGAGAGAUUUGAUUGUGUUUCUCUUGCGAGGGAGAGUCAGGGGCAAGGUUAUGUGUGUGAAAUAUGUAUGUAGAACCAAAAGCUAAUCUUGUUCAUUGUGUUCCAUUAUUCCAAAAAAGCUGUUUUCUAUUUCUGGUUUUAUUUUCACUAUUGAGCAUUCAUCAGUUCGCUGUGGGUUGCACAGAAGGUGAACUUACUGAUGCAUUAUGAAUUGUGUUGAUAAAUGGGCUUGGGGAUUCAAUAUUUAACGUAUGCCCAAGCCACUUGACUCUCUUCUGAUUGUACGAGGCCACUUAUUCCUUAUGGUAUCACUUUGGUGGUGAAACAUAAGAGGCUGUGUCAGCUCCUGCUUUUGAUAGAAAUGAAUAAAAAUAAAACAAAGACAGCAUUCUUCAGCCGCAAAGCAAUUGUAGCAAAGUCUGUUCAUAGCAAGAAAAUGUUUGGUUCUUCUUUUUUUGUAGAUUUCUAUAAUAAAACAUUGUGAUAACUGACUA